ACAAACUUGGUCAUUUAGAGGAAGUAAAAGUCGUAACAAGGUUUCCGUAGGUGAACCUGCGGAAGGAUCAUUACUGCUUGCUCACCGUCUCGCUCGGGCAACCGAGCGUGGUCGGGGCACGCUACCCUUGCCUACACGUACCCGUUUGUUACUCCCUCGGCGGGGCAACCCGCCGCCGGGAACACGUACAACCCCUUUGCAUGAAGCAUUCCAACCUUCUGAACAAACCGAAAAUAAUCACAACUUUCAACAAUGGAUCUCUUGGUUCUGGCAUCGAUGAAGAACGCAGC
rnacentral:misc_RNA from 1 species